CACCCGGCAGAGUGGUGCGACGCACGCCUCCCUUUUCCGGGGGGAGGGCGCCCCCGGAGUCAGCUGCUGACCGUCGCGGCAUCGGCUGC
rnacentral:tRNA from 1 species